AGUCGAGCGGAUGACGGGAGCUUGCUCCUUGAUUCAGCGGCGGACGGGUGAGUAAUGCCUAGGAAUCUGCCUGGUAGUGGGGGACAACGUUUCGAAAGGAACGCUAAUACCGCAUACGUCCUACGGGAGAAAGCAGGGGACCUUCGGGCCUUGCGCUAUCAGAUGAGCCUAGGUCGGAUUAGCUAGUUGGUGAGGUAAUGGCUCACCAAGGCGACGAUCCGUAACUGGUCUGAGAGGAUGAUCAGUCACACUGGAACUGAGACACGGUCCAGACUCCUACGGGAGGCAGCAGUGGGGAAUAUUGGACAAUGGGCGAAAGCCUGAUCCAGCCAUGCCGCGUGUGUGAAGAAGGUCUUCGGAUUGUAAAGCACUUUAAUUGGGAGGAAGGGCAGUAAGCUAAUACCUUGCUGUUUUGACGUUACCGACAGAAUAAGCACCGGCUAACUCUGUGCCAGCAGCCGCGGUAAUACAGAGGGUGCAAGCGUUAAUCGGAAUUACUGGGCGUAAAGCGCGCGUAGGUGGUUCGUUAAGUUGGAUGUGAAAGCCCCGGGCUCAACCUGGGAACUGCAUCCAAAACUGGCGAGCUAGAGUACGGUAGAGGGUGGUGGAAUUUCCUGUGUAGCGGUGAAAUGCGUAGAUAUAGGAAGGAACACCAGUGGCGAAGGCGACCACCUGGACUGAUACUGACACUGAGGUGCGAAAGCGUGGGGAGCAAACAGGAUUAGAUAC
rnacentral:rRNA from 1 species